AUUUAGCGCAGUCAUGAGUUUCCGUGUCCAACUUUAAUUAUCCAUCUUAUUUGAAAUUUUUUAUGAUUAAUAUUUUCAUUGCUAUUAGAUCAUAAAAUCUGAAUAGUACUUUAUGCGUGACUUAUGUUUUUUUAAUUUUUUUCAAAUAAGACGGACGAUUAAAGUUUGACACAGAAACUCAUGGAUGCGCUUAAA
rfam:Oryza sativa Japonica Group DNA, chromosome 3, cultivar: Nipponbare, complete sequence.